UGGGAAGAAAAAAGAGACCUUGUAAGGGAGGUAGAAAUGAUUUAGCAGACACUCUAAAUCUUGCUGAAGGAGCUCGUGUCAUGCUCACAAGAAACAUUGAUGUACAAAAUGGCCUAGUUAAUGGUGCCUUUGCUACUCUAACAACUGUUGUUACUUCAGAGGAUGAUCAACAAAUCACUAAGCUAGGCCUGACAAUGGAUCUUCAGACAGGUGUCACCAGAAACCAAAGUGGACCUCAAGAAUCUGCCAAUCUGGUUUACAUUGAGAGAGCGGAGGAGAAUCUGAAGCAGAACGGAGCGAGGGGCUGCCAUCUCAUAUCGAUGACAUCCAGAAACACCAUGAGCUGACUGGGGUUCUUCUCAGCAAUCACAAUGUCACAGUUUGUGUCAUAGUCCUGCCUUCCUUUGCUGGGUCUCCUUCAUGCUGACAUCCUCUCAGCUAAAGAGAAACAGUGAUAU